GGGUUAUUAAAUUAAUUCAAUUUGUCUAGGACCUAAAUGCAGUCUUGAAGACGGGAAGUACAGCUGCUUGGAGCCUAUGGAUGAAGAUAAGAGAAAAAGGUUAAGAAGGGUAAGUGAAGAAGAGAGAGGGCGGAAGGGGUGAGAGUGACAAAACGACAUAUUAGAUACAAGGUCCACUACCGGGGUGACAGGAACACUGAGAUCUCAGAGUUCAGCACUAUGUAAUUCAUCUAUGUAAGCAAAAAGUUG
rnacentral:lncRNA from 1 species